rnacentral:miRNA from 1 species
AACGGCAAUGACUUUUGUACCA